rnacentral:lncRNA from 1 species
GCGUUAGCAACCGUAGCUCGUCUGAAAAGUGGCUUAACUAGCAUGAAGCCUCACCUCGAAGACAUUAGCAACUGUAGCUACGUUUACCUGAAACAGGGGAAAGUGACAGGUGCCAAAAUGGAUGUUGAUAUUAAAUCCUGAGUCUUACUGUUUUGUUUCCCCGUUGUUUACCAACACAAGAGGGGGAAAAUACAAAAGGACAGGAUGGAGUCCACAGAGGAAAAGCAGGUAAACCAGCAUCCACUCCAGCGGUUGAUCCGACUGAGCUUCGGGUCAAAAUGUGGGACAGUCAGUUGUCUGAAAACGUGUCUCGGUGAGUGACGUCAUACUUUUUAUUUACAUCUGUGUUUGUGCAGUUUGUGGAUAAUAGUCCUCAUCUAUGGUACAGAAACAGUAUCUUCUGUGUAACUGUUAGGCUUCAUGACUGGCCAGCAGUUAAAUUAUCCCCCAUUUUGCAGUGAUCUCCAGGAUUCUCUAAACGCCUGUGUUUACUUGUUGUAGCAGCUUUGUUGCUUUUGUUCUGUCUUUUCAAUGGAUCCAUUUCUGGUUUAUGACAUUAUAAACACACCACAGUCUCCCUGUUGACCUUUAAAAUGGAAAUUUUUUAAGUAGAGUAUAAUGCAGCAAUAGGCAGCCAUUAUGUGUGCUGCCAACUGUGGGCAGGGUUUUAUUCUAGCCAAAUUCAUUUAAAGGACUUUUCCUGAUAAAAGCACCUUGAACUAGAGAUAGUGAACGCAGCAGCGGAAUCCUGUAGCGCAGUAGUGGAUUAAACCUCCGGACUCCCGUCGCCCAGUGGCACGUGCCACUGGCAUGUCCC